GAUGAACGCUGGCGGCGUGCCUAAUACAUGCAAGUCGAGCGAACAGAUGAGGAGCUUGUUCUCUGGCCGUUUGGGGCGGAGGGGGGAGAAACAUGGGGAAACCCUCCUUUAAAGUCGGGGAAAAUUCGGGAAAACGGGAGCAAAUACGGGAUAAUAUUUUGAACCGCAGGGUUAAUUGGGAAAAGUGGGUUUUCUGGUAAGUAAUAGUGGGUCCGCGCCGCAUUAGCUAGUUGGUAAGGUAACGGCUUACCAAGGCAACGAUGCGUAGCCGACCUGAGAGGGUGAUCGGCCACACUGGAACUGAGACACGGUCCAGACUCCUACGGGAGGCAGCAGUAGGGAAUCUUCCGCAAUGGGCGAAAGCUUGACGGAGCAACGCCGCGUGAGUGAUGAAGGUCUUCGGAUCGUAAAACUCUGUUAUUAGGGAAGAACAAAUGUGUAAGUAACUAUGCACGUCUUGACGGUACCUAAUCAGAAAGCCACGGCUAACUACGUG
rnacentral:rRNA from 1 species